UACGAAGGGGGCUAGCGUUGCUCGGAAUCACUGGGCGUAAAGCGCACGUAGGCGGGUUCUUAAGUCAGGGGUGAAAUCCUGGAGCUCAACUCCAGAACUGCCUUUGAUACUGGGAGUCUUGAGUUCGGGAGAGGUGAGUGGAACUGCGAGUGUAGAGGUGAAAUUCGUAGAUAUUCGCAAGAACACCAGUGGCGAAGGCGGCUCACUGGCGCGAUGCUGACGCUGAGGUGCGAAAGCGUGGGGAGCAAACAGG
rnacentral:rRNA from 1 species